GGGAAGAUGGCCGAGUGGUCUAAGGCGCUAGUUUCAGGCUUUUGUGAUAAAAUCUUGGAUAAGACACUAGUCUUCGGGCGUGGGUUCGAAUCCCACUCUUCUCA